rnacentral:lncRNA from 1 species
CUUGAUAUCACAAAGGGGCAAUCUUUGGCUAGUUGCUUGUUUGUUUCAUGGUGCUUUUCAUCUGUUUUUUUCCAGCAGGUUUGUGUGUCUCCAAGUGUGUUAGGAGGACACAGUCUAUGCCAGGAGUGAGAAGCAAGGUGCUAGUGUCAACCUCGGAGUUUGUGGUACACCUCUUCUCUUCCCCCCUGCUCAGGUUUGCAUUCAUGGCAGCAGUACCAUCACAGACACUACAGGGGGACAGAGCAUGUUUAGGCUCUGAAUUAAUGUUUUUUUUAUAAAAUGGCAGCAGCACACCCUUAGCCUAGGCGAUAGUUAAAGACCUUGGCUCUCCAAAAGGUGUCGAGUUUUGAAAUUGAUUUUCCCCUUUCAUUUGUUAUAUUUCACUCUUCUUCCUCUUUGGUUAUGAAGAAGAUGUAUUUUUCAACUUGGUCCAAAUGGUACAAAUAGAUGAUAGGAGGGUUAUCAAAAUAACCUAAAAUAGACCACGUGGUCACAUCGUUGACACUAGCACCUUGCACACAAACCUGCUGGAAAAAACAGAUGAAAAGCACCAUGAAACAAACAAACAACUAGCCAAAGAUUGCCCUUUUGUGAUAUCAAGAUGCAGCAGAGAACCAAAAUGUGCUGAAGUUAGUGCUAAAAAUUCCUACGGACCAUAAAGGUCAGGGGGAUGCCACCAAAGAGACAUAACCCAAUCACCCACAUGCCUGCAGUGGGCGGGGUCCAAGCUGAGGCCCAGCAGGGGGCUGUCGGGAAGCCAGAAAAAGGCCACCUCUUCCUCCCACCUGCUCAUUCCCUGGUCCACUCCUCAAGCCUCCAGACGUGCGGCUCGCCAGGGAGACUUGGCUGAAAUGGAAGGGGCUGCAAGUGUCCAGAGUCCUAGCCACGACGGACAGGCUGUCUGCCACAGGCAAGAUGGAAGAAUCUCCCCCAAGGAAGGCCAGUCUCUGAAAGAGAAGGGGGGCGAUCGCCAUUCCUCCGAAAGACGCAGAGAAAAAGGAAGCCUGGAGACCCGAGAGGGCUCUCGGAGCAAAGCAGUGCACACCAGGCACAAGCGGAGCAGAAGCCCCACUGGCUGUCCUGACAGGCGGGGCCUCCACAGCAAAGACAAGAAGAGGCAGGGACCACCCUCCCCAGCCCAGGCGAGAGCUAAGGACUGGUUUUUCUCCUCCAGAGCAGGACUUGACCGCAGAGGAGGUAGGUUUCUGGGCAGGCGCUUGGCACAGGUGGGGAUGUGGGUGCAGGGCCUGAGGGUCGCAACAAGCCCCCAGCAGGCAGGUAGGUGGGGAGACACGCUGCCCCUGGUGCGGGGCCCCUGGUGAGGGGCCCCUAAAGCCCUAACAGGCUGGGAGGAAGGCAUCCAGGUGUGGGCCCCGGUUCCCAGCAGAUCCUGGAAGGGGCCCCAGGGUCCGGUGCGGUGGAGAGUGGGUCGUGGGGGAAGGAGGGUUGGGAGUCUCCAUGGGGAAGAGGUUGUUGGUCGACCCUGACAAGGAAUCCCAGGGCGGGCGAGGGUGCAGCGCAUAUCACCUGAACUCCUCCCGCUCUGCCUCCCGCGCAGGUUCUGCCCACACGCCUCGGCGCCCGGCCCGGCCCGCCUCUCCCAAGCCUCGUCGCGGAUCCUCGUGUCCCGAAGCCCGCGUGCCCGCGGCGGCGCUCGCGUCCGAGCUCUGCAACCAGAUGGGCGCCCUGCAGGUGGCCCUGGGCGAGCUGCGGGCCCCGGGGGGCGCCUACCUGCCGGUGCCCUCCCGCUGCACGGAGCC